UGGGGAAUAUUGGACAAUGGGGGCAACCCUGAUCCAGCCAUGCCGCGUGAGUGAAGAAGGCCUUCGGGUUGUAAAGCUCUUUUGUCAGGGAAGAAACGGUAGUAGCGAAUAACUACUACUAAUGACGGUACCUGAAGAAUAAGCACCGGCUAACUACGUGCCAGCAGCCGCGGUAAUACGUAGGGUGCAAGCGUUAAUCGGAAUUACUGGGCGUAAAGCGUGCGCAGGCGGUUGUGUAAGUCAGAUGUGAAAUCCCCGGGCUCAACCUGGGAAUUGCAUUUGAGACUGCACGGCUAGAGUGUGUCAGAGGGGGGUAGAAUUCCACGUGUAGCAGUGAAAUGCGUAGAUAUGUGGAGGAAUACCGAUGGCGAAGGCAGCCCCCUGGGAUAACACUGACGCUCAUGCACGAAAGCGUGGGGAGCAAACAGGAUUAGAUACCCACGUAGUCCCUGAGCGGGCUGGCAAGGCGCAU
rnacentral:rRNA from 1 species